AGCCUCUCGGUGUGACGGUCGCACACAAGAUUUUGGUUCUUGGAGAGAGGGUUCGACUCCCUCAGAGGCUA
rnacentral:tRNA from 1 species